rnacentral:rRNA from 1 species
UACGUAGGGGGCUAGCGUUGUCCGGAAUCAUUGGGCGUAAAGCGCGCGUAGGCGGCCCGGUAAGUCCGCUGUGAAAGUCAAAGGCUCAACCUUUGAAUGUCAGCGGAUACUGCCGGGCUAGAGUCCGGAAGAGGCGAGUGGAAUUCCUGGUGUAGCGGUGGAAUGCGCAGAUAUCGGGAGGAACACCGGUGGCGAAGGCGGUUCUCUGGGCCUUACCUGACGCUGAGGAGCGAAAGUGUGGGGAGCGAACAGG